GGAAUAUUGGACAAUGGGCGCAAGCCUGAUCCAGCCAUGCCGCGUGCAGGAUGACGGUCCUAUGGAUUGUAAACUGCUUUUAUACGAGAAGAAACAUCCCGACGUGUCGGGACUUGACGGUAUCGUAAGAAUAAGGAUCGGCUAACUCCGUGCCAGCAGCCGCGGUAAUACGGAGGAUCCAAGCGUUAUCCGGAAUCAUUGGGUUUAAAGGGUCCGUAGGCGGUUUAAUAAGUCAGUGGUGAAAGCCCAUCGCUCAACGGUGGAACGGCCAUUGAUACUGUUAGACUUGAAUUAUUAGGAAGUAACUAGAAUAUGUAGUGUAGCGGUGAAAUGCUUAGAGAUUACAUGGAAUACCAAUUGCGAAGGCAGGUUACUACUAAUUGAUUGACGCUGAUGGACGAAAGCGUGGGUAGCGAACAGGAUUAGAUACCCUUG
rnacentral:rRNA from 1 species